GAUGAACGCUGGCGGCGUGCCUAAUACAUGCGAGUCGAGCGAACAGACGAGGAGCUUGCUCCUCUGACGUUAGCGGCGGACGGGUGAGUAACACGUGGAUAACCUACCUAUAAGACUGGGAUAACUUCGGGAAACCGGAGCCAAUACCGGAUAAUAUAUUGAACCGCAUGGUUCAAUAGUGAAAGACGGUUUUGCUGUCACUUAUAGAUGGAUCCGCGCCGCAUUAGCUAGUUGGUAAGGUAACGGCUUACCAAGGCAACGAUGCGUAGCCGACCUGAGAGGGUGAUCGGCCACACUGGAACUGAGACACGGUCCAGACUCCUACGGGAGGCAGCAGUAGGGAAUCUUCCGCAAUGGGCGAAAGCCUGACGGAGCAACGCCGCGUGAGUGAUGAAGGUCUUCGGAUCGUAAAACUCUGUUAUUAGGGAAGAACAAAUGUGUAAGUAACUAUGCACGUCUUGACGGUACCUAAUCAGAAAGCCACGGCUAACUACGUG
rnacentral:rRNA from 1 species